rnacentral:rRNA from 1 species
AGAGUUUGAUCAUGGCUCAGAACGAACGUUGGCGGCGUGGAUUAGGCAUGCAAGUCGAACGAAUCCCGGCGGGGGUAACUCUGCCGGGGGAAGUGGCGAAAGGGGCAGUAAGGCGUGGCUAACCUACCCCGGGGACGGGCAUAGCCCUCCUAACGGAGGGGUAAUUCCCGGCGAUCUGGCUGAGGGGCAUCUCCCGGCCAGGAAACGAAUUUCGCCUCGGGAGGGGGUCACGUGCUAUUAGCUUGUUGGCGGGGUAACGGCCCACCAAGGCGAAGAUGGCUAGCGGGUGUGAGAGCACGACCCGCGCCACUGGCACUGAGACACUGGCCAGACUCCUACGGGAGGCUGCAGUCGAGGAUCUUCGGCAAUGGGCGCAAGCCUGACCGAGCGACGCCGCGUGCGCGAUGAAGGCCUUCGGGUUGUAAAGCGCUGUCGAGGGGGAGGAAAGCCGCAAGGCCUGACCUAUCCCUGGAGGAAGCACGGGCUAAGUUCGUGCCAGCAGCCGCGGUAAUAC